rnacentral:rRNA from 1 species
CCUACGGGUGGCAGCAGUGAGGAAUAUUGGUCAAUGGGCUUACGCCUGAACCAGCCAAGUCGCGUGAGGGAAGACUGCCCUAUGGGUUGUAAACCUCUUUUGUCAGGGAGCAACGCCGGUUACGUGUAGCCGGACUGAGAGUACCUGAAGAAAAAGCAUCGGCUAACUCCGUGCCAGCAGCCGCGGUAAUACGGAGGAUGCGAGCGUUAUCCGGAAUGAUUGGGCGUAAAGGGUGCGCAGGCGGUCCUGAAAGUCUGGAGUGAAACGCAUGAGCUCAACUCAUGCAUGGCUUUGGAAACUGGAGGACUGGAGAGCAGGAGAGGGCGGUGGAACUCCAUGUGUAGCGGUAAAAUGCGUAGAUAUAUGGAAGAACACCAGUGGCGAAGGCGGCCGCCUGGCCUGUUGCUGACGCUGAGGCACGAAAGCGUGGGGAGCAAAUAGGAUUAGAUACCCGGGUAGUC